rnacentral:rRNA from 1 species
GAUGAACGCCGGCGGCGUGCUUAACACAUGCAAGUCGAACGGAAAGGCCCAAGCUUGCUUGGGUACUCGAGUGGCGAACGGGUGAGUAACACGUGGGUGAUCUGCCCUGCACUUCGGGAUAAGCCUGGGAAACUGGGUCUAAUACCGGAUAGGACCACAUUUUGGAUGGUGUGGUGGAAAGUUUUUCGGUGUGGGAUGAGCUCGCGGCCUAUCAGCUUGUUGUGGGGGUAAUGGCCUACCAAGGCGUCGACGGGUAGCCGGCCUGAGGGGGUGUACGGCCGCAUUGGGUCUGAGGUACGGCCCAGGCGCCUACGGGAGGCAGCAGGGGGGAAUAUUGAACAAUGGGCGCAAGCCUGAUGCAGCGACGCCGCGGGGGGGAUGACGGCCUUCGGGUUGUAAACUCCUUGCGCUAGGGACGAAGCGUGAUGUGACGGUACCUGGAGAAGAAGCACCGGCUAACUACGUG